rnacentral:tRNA from 1 species
AUGUAACUCAGCAGUAGAGUACUUGCUUAGCAUGUGUGAGGCCCUGGGUUUAAUUCCCAGCAU